ACCAGGAUGGCCGAGUGGUUAAGGCGUUGGACUUAAGAUCCAAUGGACAAAAGUCCUCGUGGGUUCGAACCCCACUCCUGGUA